CUGUGAGCUCGAUGAGUAGGGCGGGACACGUGGUAUCCUGUCUGAAUAUGGGGGGACCAUCCUCCAAGGCUAAAUACUCCUGACUGACCGAUAGUGAACCAGUACCGUGAGGGAAAGGCGAAAAGAACCCCGGCGAGGGGAGUGAAAAAGAACCUGAAACCGUGUACGUACAAGCAGUGGGAGCACGCUUAGGCGUGUGACUGCGUACCUUUUGUAUAAUGGGUCAGCGACUUAUAUUCUGUAGCAAGGUUAACCGAAUAGGGGAGCCGAAGGGAAACCGAGUCUUAACUGGGCGUUAAGUUGCAGGGUAUAGACCCGAAACCCGGUGAUCUAGCCAUGGGCAGGUUGAAGGUUGGGUAACACUAACUGGAGGACCGAACCGACUAAUGUUGAAAAAUUAGCGGAUGACUUGUGGCUGGGGGUGAAAGGCCAAUCAAACCGGGAGAUAGCUGGUUCUCCCCGAAAGCUAUUUAGGUAGCGCCUCGUGAAUUCAUCUCCGGGGGUAGAGCACUGUUUCGGCAAGGGGGUCAUCCCGACUUACCAACCCGAUGCAAACUGCGAAUACCGGAGAAUGUUAUCACGGGAGACACACGGCGGGUGCUAACGUCCGUCGUGAAGAGGGAAACAACCCAGACCGCCAGCUAAGGUCCCAAAGUCAUGGUUAAGUGGGAAACGAUGUGGGAAGGCCCAGACAGCCAGGAUGUUGGCUUAGAAGCAGCCAUCAUUUAAAGAAAGCGUAAUAGCUCACUGGUCGAGUCGGCCUGCGCGGAAGAUGUAACGGGGCUAAACCAUGCACCGAAGCUGCGGCAGCGACGCUGAUGCGUUGUUGGGUAGGGGAGCGUUCUGUAAGCCUGCGAAGGUGUGCUGUGAGGCAUGCUGGAGGUAUCAGAAGUGCGAAUGCUGACAUAAGUAACGAUAAAGCGGGUGAAAAGCCCGCUCGCCGGAAGACCAAGGGUUCCUGUCCAACGUUAAUCGGGGCAGGGUGAGUCGACCCCUAAGGCGAGGCCGAAAGGCGUAGUCGAUGGGAAACAGGUUAAUAUUCCUGUACUUGGUGUUACUGCGAAGGGGGGACGGAGAAGGCUAUGUUGGCCGGGCGACGGUUGUCCCGGUUUAAGCGUGUAGGCUGGUUUUCCAGGCAAAUCCGGAAAACUAAGGCUGAGGCGUGAUGACGAGGCACUACGGUGCUGAAGCAACAAAUGCCCUGCUUCCAGGAAAAGCCUCUAAGCAUCAGGUAACAUCAAAUCGUACCCCAAACCGACACAGGUGGUCAGGUAGAGAAUACCAAGGCGCUUGAGAGAACUCGGGUGAAGGAACUAGGCAAAAUGGUGCCGUAACUUCGGGAGAAGGCACGCUGAUAUGUAGGUGAAGUCCCUCGCGGAUGGAGCUGAAAUCAGUCGAAGAUACCAGCUGGCUGCAACUGUUUAUUAAAAACACAGCACUGUGCAAACACGAAAGUGGACGUAUACGGUGUGACGCCUGCCCGGUGCCGGAAGGUUAAUUGAUGGGGUCAGCGCAAGCGAAGCUCUUGAUCGAAGCCCCGGUAAACGGCGGCCGUAACUAUAACGGUCCUAAGGUAGCGAAAUUCCUUGUCGGGUAAGUUCCGACCUGCACGAAUGGCGUAAUGAUGGCCAGGCUGUCUCCACCCGAGACUCAGUGAAAUUGAACUCGCUGUGAAGAUGCAGUGUACCCGCGGCAAGACGGAAAGACCCCGUGAACCUUUACUAUAGCUUGACACUGAACAUUGAGCAUUGAUGUGUAGGAUAGGUGGGAGGCUUUGAAGUGUGGACGCCAGUCUGCAUGGAGCCGACCUUGAAAUACCACCCUUUAAUGUUUGAUGUUCUAACGUUGACCCGUAAUCCGGGUUGCGGACAGUGUCUGGUGGGUAGUUUGACUGGGGCGGUCUCCUCCUAAAGAGUAACGGAGGAGCACGAAGGUUGGCUAAUCCUGGUCGGACAUCAGGAGGUUAGUGCAAUGGCAUAAGCCAGCUUGACUGCGAGCGUGACGGCGCGAGCAGGUGCGAAAGCAGGUCAUAGUGAUCCGGUGGUUCUGAAUGGAAGGGCCAUCGCUCAACGGAUAAAAGGUACUCCGGGGAUAACAGGCUGAUACCGCCCAAGAGUUCAUAUCGACGGCGGUGUUUGGCACCUCGAUGUCGGCUCAUCACAUCCUGGGGCUGAAGUAGGUCCCAAGGGUAUGGCUGUUCGCCAUUUAAAGUGGUACGCGAGCUGGGUUUAGAACGUCGUGAGACAGUUCGGUCCCUAUCUGCCGUGGGCGCUGGAGAACUGAGGGGGGCUGCUCCUAGUACGAGAGGACCGGAGUGGACGCAUCACUGGUGUUCGGGUUGUCAUGCCAAUGGCACUGCCCGGUAGCUAAAUGCGGAAGAGAUAAGUGCUGAAAGCAUCUAAGCACGAAACUUGCCCCGAGAUGAGUUCUCCCUGACUCCUUGAGAGUCCUGAAGGAACGUUGAAGACGACGACGUUGAUAGGCCGGGUGUGUAAGCGCAGCGAUGCGUUGAGCUAACCGGUACUAAUGAACCGUGAGGCUUAACCUUACAACGCCGAAG
rnacentral:rRNA from 1 species